UUUUUUUAUUUUAGUGGCCAAUAUCGGACCAGUGCACCCCUUGUCAGGUCCGCAGUGCGCCCCAGGCAACCCGGCCAGCUACGUCGCGCCCCACCCCCCGCGCGCAAACGAGGACGCGCGGCUGUGCGUAAACAAGUGCGGAGGCGCUAGACACCCGCUUAAUCUUCUUCAGCGGCGGACAUGGGGUAGUCUGCUUAUGAGAAUCAGAAGUUCCUUGGUAGCAGAGGAAGUCAUGGUCAAGGAGAAGCUGGCAAUGGUACAUGUAGGAGAGGUGAAUUCGGGAAGCCACUGGAAGUUCUUGAAUUAUUUGCCUCCUUUCCGGCCUCUUAUUC